rnacentral:rRNA from 1 species
AGCAGCCGCGGUAAUUCCAGCUCCAAUAGCGUAUAUUAAAGUUGUUGCAGUUAAAAAGCUCGUAGUUGAACUUCAGGCCCGGUCGGACGGUCCGCCUUCUGGGUGUGUACUGUCUCGGUUGGGUCCUACCUUCUGGCGAAGCGGCAUGGCCUUAAUUGACCGUGUCGGGGAACCAGGACUUUUACUGUGAAAAAAUUAGAGUGUUCAAAGCAGGCAUGUUAGCUUGAAUACAUUAGCAUGGAAUAAUGGAAUAGGACGAUGGUUCUAUUUUGUUGGUUUCUAGGACCGUUGUAAUGAUUAAUAGGGAUAGUUGGGGGCAUUAGUAUUCAAUUGUCAGAGGUGAAAUUCUUGGAUUUAUUGAAGACUAACUACUGCGAAAGCAUUUGCCAAGGAUGUUUUCAUUAAUCAAGAACGAAAGUUAGGGGAUCGAAGACGAUCAGAUACCGUCGUAGUCUUAACCAUAAACUAUGCCGACUAGGAAUCGGGCGAUGUUAAAAAUGACUCGCUCGGCACCUCAUGG